rnacentral:rRNA from 1 species
CAGUUGUCACGCCAGUGGCACAGCUGGGCAGCUAUGUGCGGAUCGGAUAAACGCUGAAAGCAUCUAAGCGUGAAGCCGGCCCAAAGAUAAGAUAUCCCACUGAGUCAAUCAGGUAAGACCCCUUGAAGACUACAAGGUUGAUAGGCACAAAGUGUAAGCGCGGUGACGCGUUGAGCUAGCGUGUACUAAUAGGUCGAGGGCUUGACCAC